AUUGAACGCUGGCGGCAGGCCUAACACAUGCAAGUCGAACGAGUGGCGGACGGGUGAGUAAUACAUCGGAAUCUACUCUAUCGUGGGGGAUACAGUCGGGAAACUUACGCUAAUACCGCAUACGCUUGACUGAGCCGAUGUCGGAUUUGCGAGUGGGCGGGGUAAAGGCACACCAAGGCGACGAUCCGUAGCUGGUCUGAGAGGAGGCUCAGCCACACUGGAACUGAGACACGGCCCAGACUCCUACGGGAGGCAGCAGUGGGGAAUAUUGGACAAUGGGCGCAAGCCUGAUGCAGCCAUGCCGCGUGUGUGAAGAAGGCCUUCGGGUUGUAAAGCCCUUUCGUUGGGAAGGCGGUACCCACAGAAGAAGCACCGGCUAACUCCGUGCCAGCAGCCGCGGUAAUAC
rnacentral:rRNA from 1 species